rnacentral:lncRNA from 1 species
AUGAGGAAGCAGACCUCAGCCAAUGACUGACAGACUCAGGGUGUGAAAGGCUGGCCCCUUUGCCUCAAAGGGAACUAACUCAGGUGUAAUGUUUGCUCAAGGACUUACCUGUGGAAUUACACUGAAAUUAGUCUCUGCUGCAACCACAAACUUGUUAGUUUUUAAUCCUUACCCUCUCCUGCCUCCCUCACUCCCCUUCUCCUGGUGGGUGCCUUCUAAUAAGCCACUGAACUUCUCCAUCUCUGCUUCCGGAAAACUCAGCCUAAGGCAAUUGUUACGCAUUUUAUUUAUGGAGCUGAAUAUGUUGGGAGGCAAAGGAGGCGACAACUUAACACAUCUGAGCUUCCUCUAAGAAGUGCUGUGGCCCACUGAGUCAGCAGCGGCCUCUUCCCUACUGCGGGUGAGGCGACUCCUCAACCACCUCACGUCAAGCCAACUGAGUAAGGCCUUCAAUGAUCCUUCCCUACUCAAGGGCCUGGAGGAUUGACACUGCAUGACAAGAAAAGUCCACGUGAGAACAGAGAGAGAAGGUAGCCAUUUACAAAUUAAGAAGAAAGGCCUCAGGAGAAACCAAACCUACUGACACCUUGACAUGGGGUCUUCCAGCCUCCAAAAUUGAGCAAACGAAUUUCUGUUGUUUCAGGCACCCAGUCUCUGGCAUUUUCUUAUAGCAGCCCCAGCACACUAAAGUACUAAGGAACUUCCUUUCGUGUUUUCUAGUGUAUGUCUGCCAGAGAUUAAGUCUUAAACAUAUCAUCCAUUUCAUACAUACAACUUUUGUUUGUAUGAAAAAUUCUUUAUCUCCCCUUCAUUUUCAAAAUAUAUUUUUGUUGGUUAAAGAAUUAUGGAUAGAAACUUUUUUCUUUUUCCUUAAGUACUUUAAAAUUAUUGUUCCAUUGUCUUAUGGUUUGCAUAAUUUUUGAUUAUCUGUGUUUCUCUGUAUAAAAUGUUUCUUUUUCUCUAGCUACUUUUUUUUUUUUUUUUGAGGAAGGUUAGCCCUGAGCUAGCAUCCAUGCCCAUCUUCCUCUGUUUUAUAUGUGGGACACAUGUCACAGCAUGGCUUGAUAAGUGGUGUGCAGGUCUGUGUGAUCUGAUCUGGUGAACCCCUUGCUACUGAAGCAGAGGGCAUGAAUUUAACCACUACACCACCAGGCUGGCUGCUCUCUGGCUGCUUGCAACAUAUGCUUGGGCCAGUCCCAGUGGCCUAGUGGUUAAGUUUGGUGUGCUCAACUUCAGCAUCCCAGGUUCAGUUCCCGGGUGUCGACCUAUACAACUUGUCUCUCAGUGGCCAUGCUAUGGCAGUGGCUCACACAAAAAAGAGGAAGAUUGGCAGUGGAUGUUAGCUCGGAGCAAAUCUUCUCCAGACCAAAAAAAAAAGCUUUUUCUCUUCAUCAUCCAUUUUAAGCAAUUUGUGCUGCCCU